CACAACCUCUGAGGAUGCCUGCCAUAGAUGUGGGCGAAACGUCAGGAGAGAAUGCUUCUGGAACAUGGCCACACAGCCCGAAAGACAUACAACAACCCUGUGAUCCCGGCCAUGAAAGCCUUCGACAACACAUAACACUAAAGGUUGCCACAUUUGCAAUUGCAGCCCAAAAGAUCAGAGCUAAGGUAGCAAAAUCCAUACUUGAGGACAGAAAUGGAAAUGGUGAUGGUUUGGGAUGAUACAAAUCAGACACUGUCAUUGUUAUGUUGCUGCUAUCAUAAUUUUAAAGAGCUAGUUUUAAUUUUUGAAUAAGUUUUAAUGUUUUUAUUGGAAAGUGUUUAUAAAGGUUGUAUAUUACUGAUGUCAUGGCCUAUGGCUAGUACAAUAAACAAUUCAUUCAUUCAUUCAUAGAUAGGCUGAAAGAUCAAGUUUGGAUUGUUACAUACUGAUUUGUUAUACUAAAAUGAACUUCCUAUGACAUUUUUAAAGUUUUUUAUUAUAAAGAUGGCUUGUAAUUAUAGCUGGUUCUCCCCAUUUACAAGUCUCCUUUUCGUGAAUUUGAUUAUUCAAUACUUUGUACAGUACAACAGCUGCUGCUGAAUUACUGCAAUUCAGCUUCCUUUCUCCCUCCACCUUUACCCCUUACUUUUUCUGUCCUGCUAACACUCCCAGUGCCUAACAUCCAGUUUUAAAACUGGGAGUUAGGCAUGGAGGCAUUAAGACAGGUUGGCGGCGAGAAAGAAUCAGAGGCCAACACCCCAGUGGUGGUGGUGGUGGUGGUGGUGGUGGUGGUGAUGAUGAUGAUGAUGAUGAUGAUGAUGAUGAUGAUAAUAAUAAUAAUACUUUAUUCUUAUAUCCCACCCCAUCUCUCCAAGGGGACUCAGGGCGACUUACAAAGGGACCAUGCCCAAACAAUAUAAAAAUACAACCGUAAAAACAAAUCCAAUCACAGCAAUAAAUACAUCAAGAAAUAACAUACAACAACAACGAUUUAAAAACAAUUAAAACAUGUUCAAUGCCCUGGAGCGGUAUAGUGUUCCCUCACUUAUCACAGGGGUUAGGUUCCAGGACCACCCGCAAUAAGUGAAGAUCCGCAAAGUAGGGACGCUAUAUUUAUUUUAAUAUUUAUACAUUAUUUUAAUAGUUAUAUACUAUUUUAAGCCUUUAUCAACCAAUCGUGUGUUGAUAAAUCGCCUUCUUCUCCUGUUGCCGCUUGGGCUCCUUUUCUCUCCCUUCGGCUUCUCCUUCCUCCCUUCCUUAGGCUGUAAAUUGUAUUUUUUUACGAUUUAUAAUCUUUUAGAGUUUAUUGAAAAACCGCAAAACAGUGAAUCCGCGAAAAGUGAACCACAAAGUAGUGACGGAACACUAGUUGGUACUUCAAUCUUCAGACUAAGGGCGAGGAAUAAGGUUAACAAAGUGCAAUGCUUUAUAACUUCUAGUGGAAUGGUAUAGCAAUAAGGUGCAAAGUGUUGGAAUAAGAAGCAGUAGGGGCUCACUUUGAUGGUCUUCUUAAUUAAAAAUGGUUUGAAAAACCAGGUUUUCAGAUCUUUCCUGAAGGAGGUCAGUGUGGGCAACGGCUGCUUCUUUUAGUUUUAGUUUUAGUGCCCUAGUAGUUGGAAGAGUUUUACAAAAUGGGGUGAGGUCUGAUGGUACUAUGGCAGAAAAGGGACGUACAGGCUGGGACAGUCGGCUGAAAAGAAGCAAGGCUUAUGAUAUUCAUAGUUUUUCACACUUCCACAGAGGUCCUGCACACCUUAUCCUAGCAAAUGUGGAGGGCUGACUGUACUUUUAUGUAGUUAGACAGUAGAAAAACAUCAAACCAACCAUCAUGCAGAGAAUUCAAAGGCUAAUUUUACUGGUAGGAUUCUAACAGACAUAGUGUUGCCUUUCCCAUUACGUGACUCUACGACACCAGUUUUACAUAGUAGCAUUGCUUUCAGGAAAUACUCAAGCUGAAGCUUAGCUCAGCAUUAUAAAAGCCCCACAUGCCACAAGCCUCUAAAUCUUUGAGAUUGAGAGCUAGUGUUUUCCAAAAUAAUUUGGCAAACUGAGGAAGGUAUCUACUCUUUUGUUGGUGCCUUUAAAUUUUUCUCUAUUACAGUACUUUGAGACUUUGUUUUAUUCUAAGACCACCCAGAAUUUGCGGGCUUCACAUAGUAACCAUAUAGAGAUUUUGUUGGCAAAUUAUGUGUACCAUUCAAAAUGUAGCAUCUUUUUUUCUUGGCCAUUCCUGUCUGGGAAACGAAAUUCAUAGAAGAACUUCUGAGCCAGGUUAUAUCCAAGUCCCAUCAUUUUAUUAAUCUCUUGUUUUCCUCAUGUUUAUAGUGAAACCUCAAACAAUAAAAUAGCAGUAAAUCAGUUUCUGCGUACAGUAAUAGCAUUGUUAAUUGAACUGUACAAAGCUCUCUGUGUAGUUGAAUUAAGUUUUCUCUUGGUAUAUUUUUGAAUUGCCAUUAACAGGCUAACCAGUGUACAUAAUAGACUGACAAGCCGAAUUUGAAAGGAAAAAUUCAGCCAACAUCUUUGCCAUCCAAAGAGGCUGAUUUGGAUGGACUAGACAUGUAACACAUUGAAAGAAUGAUAGAUCUGAGAUACACUUGAAGGGAUAAUUGUAUAUACAAUCAGUUUAAAUGCUGGUAAAUAUUUAAGGGUCAAGGGUUAAAUGUCACAGUUACAAUACUUAGGCUCUGGUCCAUAAGGUAUCAAGAAUGGUAAUUAAAUCCAGGGUAUAUUUCAACAAAGGGAAGUAAAUUUGACAGCUAACAACCCAAACUGGAUUACCACCUUUCAGAGGUUAGGGAGCAUGCAAGUAAUUGUAGGUGGUUUACAGUUGUUAACAUAGUAAGUACAAUGAUUACUGUCUUUGAGGUGGGUAGCAUGGAGUUUAACAAUACUAAUUUUGAUCUUUCAGAAAAAGUGGGUGGGCAUAUUUUUCAACACACGUUUGUAACCAUUUUAUACUUGUCACUUUCUAGGAUAGCUUCUACAUUUAACGUCCUCAAGCUACUCUGCCAGUAUUACUAAGCAAAUAAAAUACAGUUCAUCCAUUUGUCAGUUAAAUGUUGUGUUUGAUUUUAUGACCAAAACUGAAACUUGAACAGCAAGAUUUGUGCUCGUAAAAGUGUAUUUUAACUGCAGUUAAAAAUUUAAUUCCAUCUUUAUUCUUUUUCAAAUACCUAUUUUGUAAUAAAUGUGUUAGUCUGUAAUUGAUUGCUGUGCUUUUAGAUUUUGAACAAAAGAUUUACAAUUUCAUGUACAGUAAUAUUAAAUAUAUUGUAAAAAGAUUAUUCAUUUGGAAUGGAUUUUGUGUAGUUUAAUAAGAAACAUUGUCCAGUAUAUCAAGACUGUAGCUGAUUAUACUUUUACUUGGAUAAAGAUAACAGAAGGUUUAAAAUGGCCAAGGGUAAUUACUUUGGUGCAAAUGAGUUAGAUGAGAUGAAGCAUAAAGAUAAAUCUUUUCCCACUGUUUGCAGAUUUCCUGCUGGAACAGAAUAUUCCCCUUGAUUCAGCAUGAAGGAAGUCUUGUAUGAGCAGCAUAAAAGAAGCAGAUACCUAUUCUUGACUUCACUGUAGGAUUUGUUUCCCAUGGUGUCUUUUAAAACUUAGUAUGAGCAGGCAGUCCUAAUGUGUGGUGCGCCUUGGGUUUGUCUCUUAGGUCCUCCUGUUUCCUCCUUGUGGGGCCCAGCAUUUCCAAUGUCUGCUGUAGAUUUGGGUCUUCCUCUCCGAGAGGCAAACGCUGAUCUGCAGAUCCUGUUCAGGCCUGUGGGAAAGUACCACAAAGCAAUAGCUAUUAAUACCGUUCUUUUCCCAUUUAGUGUGAAAGGAACUCUCAACAGGAAGGUUGGAAUAGUUUGCAGAGCAAUUCCAUGCUUUUAACUCCUUGCGUCCUAUGCUAUUGAAACUUCUUGUAGUGGUGGGAUAGGGGGAAGAGGGGUUUUGCGUAAAAGACAUAUACAGCCAUCAAUUCUAAAAGGACUCAAAAAGCAAAAACGUGGUUAUCACAUUUAAACAAGAGCAACAAACUGAUGCAGUCUAGCAAGAUGAAACACUUACCAUUAGGACACCUUGAACACAUGUGAAUGUCCACCUUACUGUAGAUUAGUCUAUCGUGUCACAAACUCAUGUUGGGUUACAUUGCAAAGUCUCAUCAAUAUUGGUGGCUUAAAUCCUUGUGCUGGCUGAACUGCUGACUGAAAGGUUGGCAGUUCGAAUCUGAGGAGCAGGGUGAGCACCCAUCUAUCAGCUCUAGCUUCCCAUGCGGGGACAUGAGAGAAGCCACACACAGGAUGGUAAAACACCAAAAUAUCCGGACGUCCCCUGGGCAACAUCCUUGCAGACAGCCAAUUCUCUCACACCAGAAGUGACUUGCAGUUUCUCAAGUUGCUCCUGACACGAAAAAAACAAAAACAAAAUUGGUUCUUAAAUUUCCGUGUCUUGUCAUCAGAAAAAAAAUACAGAUGCUAUAAAAUCAAUGUGCCACAUUAGCUACAUUCUUUUUGGUGUUUUUAAAAAAAGCAAAAUGGCUGCACAGCUGCAAAUGAAACCAUUUAUAAUUUCCUCAAAAUUGGGAGAAAGUUUGCAGUUGUCAUUGCUAAGUAACAUGCUUCCAUAAAUGUUUUUGAAUAUAAUUGUGACUGUGCUCCUAGGUACAUACUGAAACAUUCUUGAGUUCCAAGAAUUCAGUGUCACUUAAGCAGCCCUUUACAUUCAUUCAUCCAUAUUUAUAUCGCAUAUUUCUGUGAACUCGGUCUGAACGACCAUUUCAUUAUCAGUAUUCUUAUUAAAAGUAGUAGUAACAUCUGUUUCUAUCCCCAGAGAGUUUAGGAUUAUUAGGUUUGACUGGCAUGAAAAAACAAAGGAGGCCAACACUCUCCAAGACCUCACUCUCUUCCUUUCAAUAACAUUUUGCAUCCCCGCUACUGUGAUUCAGUAUGUUUUAACUGGUUUUAACUUUAAUUGGUUUGAUAAUUUAAUUACUUUUUAGCUUCUGUGUGGUGAAUUUUUACCUCAUUUUUUAAAAUUGUAAACUGCCUCUAGUCUCGAACUGGGAAACAGAAGGGGCAAUACUGUUGUUGCUGAACUUAUUGCAUUCUCCCAAAAUGCAGCUCUCCAACAACUUAUACUUUAGUAGUUCCCAAAUCCAAAGUAGAAUGCUUAACACUCUCAUAGAAGCCAAAAAUAAAUACUUCCACAUCUUGAUCCAACCCUGUCUGCUUUUAUUAAACAACUUAAGACUUGGUUCUUUCAGCGCACUUUCGAUUAAACAAGAAACUAUAGACCCCUUGACAACCAUGCUGCCAUCCUGCACUUUAUCUCUAUACCCACCCCAUCCUGCCCCUAAUGUUAUCUUGGAAUUUUUUUUUUUGAAUACUCGGUCAGGCACUUUAUGGAAUAACCCAGUUACUACGCACUUUACUUCGACCCUCUUUUAUUCCUUUGUCCCUUGGUGAAAUUGAUAUGGUUUUAAAACUUCUUAUUUUAUGUAUUUAUGUAUAAUUGUGCUUGAAUUCAUUUUUGAUUUUAUUCUGCUUGUUAUUUUAUUGUUUGGUUUUAUAUUUUAGCUUGUUUAUACUUUGUUUUUCUGGACUUGGCCCCAUGUUAGCCACCCCGAGUCCCUUCAGGAAGAUGGUGGCGGGAUACAAAAAUAAAGUAUUAUUAUUAUUAUUAUUAUUAUUAUUAUUAUUAUUAUUAUUAUCUUUCAUUCGUAUUUUUGUUUCCUUGAAAUUGCAACAUAAUAACGAUAAUAAUAAUAAUACAGUAGAGUCUCACUUAUCCAAGCUAAACGGGCCGGCAGAAGCUUGGAUAAGCGAAUAUGUUGGAUAAUAAGGAGGGAUUAAGGAAAAGCCUAUUAAACAUCAAAUUAGGUUAUGAUUUUACAAAUUAAGCUCCAAAAUGUCAUAUUAUACAACAAAUUUGACAGAAAAAGUAGUUCAAUACGCAGUAAUGUUAUGUUGUAAUUACUGUAUUUACGAAUUUAGCACCAAAAUAUCAUGAUAUAUUGAAAACAUUGACUACAAAAAUGGCUUGGAUAAUCCAGAAGCUUGGAUAAGAGAGGCUCGGAUAAGUGAGACUCUACUGUAAUAAUAAUAAUAAUAAUAAUAAUAAUAAUAAUAAUAAUAAUGAUGAUAAUAAUAAUAAUAAUAAUACUUUAUUUGUAUGACACUCUAUCUCCCCGAGGGGAGCAGCUUCCAACAUAAUAACAGGCAAACAUUCAAUGCCUAUACAGACAAAAAAUAAAAUAAAAUAACAGGAAUAAUCAAUAUUAUACAAUAAGGUAAAACAACACUGACGUUAACUUUAAAUAAUUAUCGUUAAAAUAGUUUAAAAGACCAGCUGAACUAGAGUGAUAUAUCAGUUCCCUUAUAUUCCACUUAGUUUGUGCUGUAAACUUUAUUCCUCCUUCUCAUUAAGCCAACGAGCCUUCCUCUGGGUCAUUAGCAGCAGAUAAAUGAUAUAACAGUGGUUAUUUUAAUAAUUUUAACUGUUUUAUGUGCUGUUUUAUAUUGGUUUGUAUGGGCAUCUAAUUGUUGCCACUGUUGUAAGCCGCCCUGAGUCCCUUCGGGUGAGAAGGGCGGGAUUCAAAUGUGAGAAAUAAAUAAAUAAUUUUAACUGUUUUUAAUUGUUCUUAAACUGAUUCGUUUUGUUAUUUUAUAGGUUUAAUAGAUUUAUAUGUUCUAUUUAAUUAUUUAAACUUUUUGAGUAGUUGUGUUGUCGAAGGCUUUCAUGGCCGGAAUCUCUGAGAAUGCUUCUGGAACGUGGCCUUACAGUCUGAAAGCUCACAGCAAGCCUUUGUGAGUAGUUGUUAUAAUUUGUUAUAGAUUUUUAAUUCAUGGAUUAUUUGUUCAUUUUGUAUUGUUUUAUGGCAUUGAAUGUUUGCCAUCCUUUGUUGGAAGCCGCCCUGAGUCCCCUCAGGGAGAUAGGGCAGUUAUAAAUAAAAUUAUUAUUUAUUAUUAUCAGUUAUCCAGACACAAAUUUGGAAAAUAGUUGAUAUGAAAAUUUUAUAUGUAUCGUGCUGACAAUAGAUAUAUAUUUUUCUAAAAAAAACCCAGCAUUUCAUUAUUUUAACAUUUUUUUGCCUGUUAAGGCAAAAGAUGAACAUAUAUAUUCUUUUCCCUGCACUUACAUUAAAAACAAACCCUGUCUUAGAGGAAAUCUAGGCAAUUAAGUAGAGAAAGCUGAUUUGGAGUUUUACUGCAUACGAAUGUUAACUUUUGCAAUCUUUCUGAAACAUUAUGCUUUAAAGAAUGUCUUAUCAACAGAUAACAUAUAGGAGCAGCUGGAUAUCAUUAAAACCCUGUGCAUGAAUCAUUUCUCUUCAUUACCUUUUCCAUGACAACUUUUACCUUUUAUAGAAAAUAUUUCUUUGUGGAGCUUUAUCAUUCGGUUAUCUUCUGUUGGAAAUUUAAACCUAUUUGUUGUUGGAAUGAGCGAUUUGCUAGACAUACCAAUAUAAACUUCUGUAAAAAAAACACAUUUCUGAAAAAAUAGCAACAUGAAAACAUGAGUGUAUGCAACAUUCUCAUUAACAGCAUUGUCCCAGCGGUUCUGCAUCCAUCACAGAAUACUCAUUCCUCAAAAGAAGCCAGUCAUGUUGCUUAAGUAUGAAAGAUGGUUAAGCAUGUUUAUAGCAUUUUCUACUGCAGCUAAACCCUAAUUUUAGGUAUUAAAUCAGCUGUAAAUUUCAACUGUUCAGUGUGUUUUUUAAUAUCCCCUGUAUACAUUAUUUCAGAAACUUAAUUAAGGCUUCAUUGCUUCCAAUAUAGUAUUUUUUUUACCAUGGCAGGUGUAGUUAAUUUUAGAAAAACCAGUUUCUUCCAAAAUGCCUAAUGAGUUUUUAAGAAUAAAACACAAUAGUUCAACUUUAAUUUUAAAAUUUGUGCAUUUAUUUUGGAAGUUAAAUAAGGAACUCAUAAUGCACAUUAAAAGUGUUUUGGCUUUCCCAGGAUGCCUCUACACUAUUUAAUUAAUGCAGUUUGACACCACUUUAACUGUCAAGGCUAAAUGCUAUUGGCCAGCUGCAACAAAUCAACCUGACCAAGAGGUCAUGAGUUCGAGGCCAGCCCAUGCCUGAGUUUGUUUCUGUCUCUGUUCUAUGUUAUGGCAUUGGAUGUUUGCCUAUAUGUGUGCAAUGUGAUCCACCCUGAGUCGCCUUUGAGGUGAGAAGAGUGGAAUAUAAAUACUGUAAAUAAAUAAAUAAAUAAAUAAAUAAAUAUCUGAAGAUUUGUUGUUUGGUGAGACAUUAGCACUAUUUGGCGAGAGGGCUAAAUGCCUUGUAAAACCACAACUUCAGUGACUCCAUAGCACUGAACCAUGGCAGUUAGAGUGGUGUCAAACUGUACUAAUUCUAUGGUGUAGAUACACCAUCAGAGGCUCCUGUUUUUGGCCAGAAAGGGGGCAUUCCAGAAGAGUCUGGUGUAUUGCUAGGAUCAAAAUGGUCAGGGAUACUGUUGUGACUGCACCUUCGGGGAUUAUGGUUGAUGGUGAUGGGAUUCGAAGAGGAAGGAAAAACCCUCGUGAUGAGGGUUCACUGGAGGAGUUGCGCAGGAAGCGACUUAGAGAGCUUAAUGGGGGAUCUUCUGAGGAAGAUUCAGAUGGGGAGUUUGGGGAAGAAAUGGAUGCUGAGGAACAGGUGGUGGCUGGGGAAAUGGGCACUGAAUGGGCACAGCCACCGGAGAUGUCUGGGGAUCUGGGGCCUAUGGAUACUGCUGAACCUGGGGUUUCUGCAGGAGCAGAUCCCACUUGGGAUGCUUGGAGAAGUGAGGAUGGUUCUUUAAGUGUUCAUGGGGCUAAGUGUGGGCAGGAUGAUUGGGACUCCGGCGAACUGUUAAGCACUCCUGAUCCACGAGCCCUAGCUGUGUGGAGUUCGGACUCUGAGUAGAUUUGGGACACCUGGUGUUUGGGUGUGAGUGUUUGGUCACCCAAGAGGAAGGGGAAUAAAAUGGGAAUGUUUGGCCACUGCACUUUGCGUGUGGCAAGGUGUUGCUGAGGCGCCAUUGGGAUCUCUGUGCUUUCGUGAAGACUGGACUUGGACUGUGAUUCGGAUCUGCUGAUACCAUCGUUGCUUGGCUCUUUGUGCCUUUUCGUGGACCUGGUUUGGAUGACUGCACCCUCUUCGGACUCUGGAUUGGAAUUUGACCUGGCUUCUGUCUUCGCCCUCUGACUGACGACUACUCCCGGCUUCUGACUACUGGUUUGCUCUUCGGAAUUUGCUGCUGCCUCCUGACCUGACCUUGGAUUCUCCUGACGACGGCUAUUCAUCAUCCCUUUGAAGCUCUCGGCUUUAUCUGCACCGUGGAAGCAGUUUACUGCACUUCUAGUUUG